GAUGAACGCUGGCGGCGUGCCUAAUACAUGCAAGUCGAGCGAACAGACGAGGAGCUUGCUCCUUCGACGUUAGCGGCGGACGGGUGAGUAACACGUAGGUAACCUACCUAUAAGACUGGGAUAACUUCGGGAAACCGGAGCUAAUACCGGAUAAUAUUUCGAACCGCAUGGUUCGAUAGUGAAAGAUGGCUUUGCUAUCACUUAUAGAUGGACCUGCGCCGUAUUAGCUAGUUGGUAAGGUAACGGCUUACCAAGGCAACGAUACGUAGCCGACCUGAGAGGGUGAUAGGCGACCCGGGAACUGGACCAGCGUCCAGGCUACUGAGGGACGCCCCAGACGCGAACCGGACGCAACAGGGGGAAAUAUGACGGAACGAGCGCAAGCGAGAGACGGAAACGCUGCGUGCGUAAAAACGUGCUAUUAGGGAAAAACCACUGUGGCAGUAAACGUAGCCGGAUUGACGGUAACUAAUAAGAAAGCAACGGCUAACUACGUG
rnacentral:rRNA from 1 species